AUGCCGAUGUCCGUAGAACACUACUCAAAGUCCUCAAAGUCUCCGCUGAUCUCUCUAUUGCAUUUGCAUCCAUUGCACUUCCCAACACGCACUCAUAGUCAUAGCCGGCCAGCCAUGGCGACGAUGCUGAUGCCAUCGCCCCGAUCUCUCGUCCUUCUCCUCCUCCUCGCCACCCCCUUCUUCGUCCUCCUCCCCCACCCCUCCUCCGCCUCAUCCCCCGCCUCCCUCCAAGAGUACACCGAGGAGGUCAACGAGGCCCACGUGGUCGUCCUCACCGCGGCCAACUUCUCCUCCUUCCUCGACGUCCGCCGCCAUGUCGUGGUGGACUUGUAUGCACCCUGGUGUUACUGGUCCCGCAAGCUCGCCCCGGAGUACGCCGCGGCCGCGUCGCACCUGGCCGACAAGGGGCUCGACGUCGCGCUCGCCAAGGUCGACGCCACCCAGGACCGUCAGCUUGCGCGCGCCCACGGCGUCGACGGAUACCCCACCGUCCUCUUCUUCAUCGACGGCGUGCCCAGGGACUACUCCUACUACGGCGACAGGACCAAGGACGCCAUGGCCAUGGUUGCUUGGAUAUCCCAGAGGCUGGAUCCUGCUGUGCAGAACGUCACCACCAUCGGCGAGGCCGAGAAGAUCAUCAACGGCCACGGCGUGGCCGUGCUCGCCUUCCUCAACUCCCUCUCGGGUGUUCACAGUGAUGAGCUUGCCGCUGCCUCAAGGCUGGAAGAUGUCAACAGCUUGUACCGGGCUGUCAACUUCUACCAGACCACCAAUCUUGAUGUAGCAAAGCUUUUCCACGUUGACCCAGAAGCAAAGCGCCCAUCACUAGUCCUGCUCAACAAACAGGAGGAGACGUUCAUCCUAUAUGAUGGCGAGUUCGGGGCGUCUGCAAUUGCCGAGUUUGUUUCAGCCAACAAAAUCCCGUUGAUCACAUACCACCCUCACAGAGGAAGCCACUCCUCCGAUGUUUGA
rnacentral:rRNA from 1 species